UACGAAGGGGGCUAGCGUUGUUCGGAAUUACUGGGCGUAAAGCGUGCGCAGGCGGCUUCUCAAGUCAGGGGUGAAAGCCCAGAGCUCAACUCUGGAAUUGCCUUUGAGACUGAGUGGCUUGAGUACGAGAGAGGUGAGUGGAAUUCCCAGUGUAGAGGUGAAAUUCGUAGAUAUUGGGAAGAACACCGGUGGCGAAGGCGGCUCUCUGGACCGAGACUGACGCUGAGGCACGAAAGCGUGGGGAGCAAACAGG
rnacentral:rRNA from 1 species